UAUAUAUAUAUAUAUAUAUAUAUAUAUAUAUAUAAAAGAAGAAAGAAAAAAGUCAGGAUCCCCUUAUAGAAUUUUUUUAUAUCGGCAUGGCACACGCAACUUCCCUGGACGAUCACUCGACAUAUGCACGUGCUGAACAGUCACUAAUACGAUCUAUAUACAAAGAUAUAUUUGACUUUUCAUGCGUUAAAUUUUAUUCGAGAACAAUGUGAAAAUCCUGUCCAAAAGAAAAAUUAUUUCGAAAUAUAGCUGUCAUUUCUACGUUAUAUUUAUAUUUUUAUCAUUUUUUGCUAAUCGUCGUUUAACGAGACGAAUAUAUAAAUGUUUGAACAA